rnacentral:rRNA from 1 species
AUACGGAGGGGGUUAGCGUUGUUCGGAAUUACUGGGCGUAAAGCGCACGUAGGCGGAUUGGAAAGUUGGGGGUGAAAUCCCAGGGCUCAACCCUGGAACUGCCUCCAAAACUAACAGUCUAGAGUUCGAGAGAGGUGAGUGGAAUUCCUAGUGUAGAGGUGAAAUUCGUAGAUAUUUGGAGGAACACCAGUGGCGAAGGCGGCUCACUGGCUCGAUACUGACGCUGAGGUACGAAAGUGUGGGGAGCAAACAGGAUUAGAAACCCGGGUAGUCC